rnacentral:misc_RNA from 1 species
AACUGGCCAACGUUUUCGUUGCUGUGCGCAGUUGAACGUUCACGGGCCGUAGAGCACACACCGGCUAGCAAGCAUGCUCCGCCUCUCACGGCGCUUGCUGGGUGCUGCGGGUGCCGGCCCGUUUGACCCGUACAAGAUUCUCGGCGUAAAGCCGGACGCCACCAAAGACGAAAUCAAGAAGGCGUAUCACCGUUUGGCACUACGGUUCCACCCAGAUAGCGGGGCAGAGGGUAACGCAGCGCGAUUUGCGGCGGUGAACGAGGCGUACGAGGCUGUCAAGGAUGGCAAAUGGAAGUAUAGCGCUCAGCAGCAACAGAAAGCGGAAGAGCAAAACAGAGGGGGCUGGAGGGAUCCAAAGAUGCGUAUGUACGUCUACGAGCAGCCGGGCUCGACGACGGAUGGCUAUGUCUCCGGCGACACCGAGAAAUACAUGCGCUUCUUCAUGAUUGGCUGCUUUCUCUUUAUAUUUGUUCGCGUUUCGCUGUUCUUCCUUCUCCCGGUCACAAGGAACGGCGGGCGCCACGAGACCGUGCUAGAUCAAGAGCGAUCGGACGGGUGUCUGCCCCUCGACGCCGUUGGCAACCAGGAGACGCCGUUUGAACAGUCCCUCGCUAAUGCUGCGAAUGGCUGCAGCAGCGGCUCCGUUCACGCGGAUGAGGAGGUGGAAUACAAGUGGGCCGAAAGUGGCGCGAGCACGCACCUGAAGGACCCGUUGUCGUACAGGUGAGAGUCCUGCUCAGUUAUGCGUUUCUUCCACAUGCCCGGAUGCCCUCUUGUCGGACGCAACAGAAGUUUCUUUGGUGCUCGACACCGCAGCUCGCUGUCGGUCUCGGGGCGUGCCUGUCGUGGCAACGCGCUUGUGGAGUACAGGCGCCUCUGCGGGCCUGUGCAGGCGAUUACGGUGGUGAUUUCUUUCUCCAACGUUUUCUUUCUGCCAUAAGGAAUGCGCGCAAUUCCACUCAAGCCCCCAGCUUGUCACAGGCCCCAUCGCGUGGUGCCAAGCAGCGCUGAACGCCUGCGUUACAGCGAUGCGCCGACUUGGCUUUCUGAGAACAUGGCCGCUACUUCAAGCUUUACUAAUCAUCUGCCUCGCAGGUCACCACACAGCCGUUCUCAUUGUGCUGGUAGCCACACGGUGUGUUCCUCGGGGUGGCAUAGGCUCCCUUCACCAGUGGGCAGUAUGAGGGCCCGAUGGAGUACGUUCAAAUCAUGUUGGCACUCUGCCCAUCACAUGUGUGGUAAAAGAAUGUGCAACGCCAGUGGUCGCUCCUGCGCAACACCAUCGAGGACCUGAGCGCCGACAUCAGCAGCGAUACAUCACUCGGACCUCCCCACAUCGCAGGAGCUUGACCCUGCCACCACCUGAUGUUGCUCUGCAUUGGCAGGGAUAGGGUGGGGGGGGUACUGGAACCCUAUGCGACGCUGAGGUGUCUCUCGUCAUCAGGGACUUGGUUGCAGUGCAGAAACAGAACGUCCUUACAGAAGAACCAAGGAAAAAUCUCUUUCCUGGGCCCCCUGAGACACAGAGGAAUACAAGAUACAACGACAGGCUCCUU